UACGUAGGGGCCUAGCGUUGUCCGGAAUCAUUGGGCGUAAAGCGCGUGUAGGCGGUUCGGUAAGUCUGCUGUGAAAGUCCAGGGCUCAACCCUGGGAUGCCGGUGGAUACUGUCGGACUAGAGUACGGAAGAGGCGAGUGGAAUUCCCGGUGUAGCGGUGAAAUGCGCAGAUAUCGGGAGGAACACCAAUUGCGAAGGCAGCUCGCUGGGACGUUACUGACGCUGAGACGCGAAAGCGUGGGGAGCAAACAGG
rnacentral:rRNA from 1 species